CGACCUGCACGAAUGGCGUAACGAGUUGAACGCUGUCUCAACGAUGGGCUCGGUGAAAUUGCAGUCUCGGUGAAGAUGCCGAGUACCCGCGGCUAGACGGAAAGACCCCGUGAACCUUUACUACAACCUGGUAUUGGAGUGCGGUGCAUCUCGCUCAGGAUAGGAGGGAGUCUUUGAAGCGCCGGCUGCGGCUGGCGUGGAGACAACCUUGAGAUACCUCCCUUGAUGUAUUGUGCUUCUAACAUCGCGCCGUUAUCCGGGCGAUGAACAGUGCCAGGCGGGUAGUUUGACUGGGGCGGU
rnacentral:rRNA from 14 species